AUUGAACGCUGGCGGCAGGCCUAACACAUGCAAGUCGAACGGUAACAGGAAGAAGCUUGCUUCUUUGCUGACGAGUGGCGGACGGGUGAGUAAUGUCUGGGAAACUGCCUGAUGGAGGGGGAUAACUACUGGAAACGGUAGCUAAUACCGCAUAACGUCGCAAGACCAAAGAGGGGGACCUUCGGGCCUCUUGCCAUCGGAUGUGCCCAGAUGGGAUUAGCUAGUAGGUGGGGUAACGGCUCACCUAGGCGACGAUCCCUAGCUGGUCUGAGAGGAUGACCGGCCACACUGGAACUGAGACACGGUCCAGACUCCUACGGGAGGCAGAAGUGGGGAAUAUUGCACAAUGGGCGCAAGCCUGAUGCAGCCAUGCCGCGUGUAUGAAGAAGGCCUUCGGGUUGUAAAGUACUUUCAGCGGGGAGGAAGAGAGUAAAGUUAAUACCUUUGCUCAUUGACGUUACCCGCAGAAGAAGCACCGGCUAACUCCGUG
rnacentral:rRNA from 1 species